rnacentral:lncRNA from 1 species
GACUCCCCGGCCCCAUUCCUGACCGUCAGAUUACGAUCGGGAGGCUCAAGCGCACCAACUGGCGGCGCCGCCCCGCCGCCGGAGAGCUCUCCGGCGUCGGUGCCUCACCGUCUCCCGUUAUUCCGGCGCCUUCCGUUCCUCGACAGAAGCGGGGCUAUGGUCGCCAGUCGUCACGCGCUCGCCGCACGAGCAGGAGCAGGAGCAGGGACUGCUGGCCGGUUAGCCUCCAGAUGGGUAGCUGUUCUGCGCAACAACUGGAGGAGCGCGGAGGGAGAAGGGACUAAACACGAGGGGGGAGGUGGAGGAGGCGGUACGACUGGUGAGCGGGUGAGUGCAAUUUCUGCGUAUAUUUCCCAUUCGUCUCCCGGAAAAUAAUAGCUUCAAAUACUUCGGUUCCCUAGUUUCCAUGGUACGCCGUUUCUCUAUUGGCGCGAUAGCUGGAUAGGGUCAGAGUCCUCGUUUUCUUUGUGAUUGUGAUGUCAAAUGUUGAUGCAACCAUAAUCUCAUAAUUAAUACCUUUCUCGCUCUUAAAUAAACAUCGUUAGUUAGUAUUAUGAGAUGUGAUUGGGGCGAUCGCUUUGUUCCUCGCUGCAUAACUUAUUUUUUGGGAGUUUUGCUUAUGCAGCUACUUUGAAGUAAUUCAAAUGAUUCAAUACUCCAGCUUACACUCAAUCCAGCUCUAGCCUUGCUGUCAAACACUCAAACUUCUCUGACUUUGACAAGUUUAUAGAAAAAAACAUAAAUAUCUACAUCAUCAAAUUAGUUCCACCCACCAUGAAAUAUAUCUCGAUAGUGCAUUUAUUUGGUAUUGUAGAUGUUAAUAUUUUUUCAUCGACCUGGUUAAAACUAGAGAAGGUUGACUUAGGAGUAAGACAUCUUACAUUGUAGAACGGAGGUGUACCAUGUUGCUGACUUAAAUAGUUCUACUGUUCUUCAUAUACACUAAUGUAUACCAGUUAGUUUAGUCAAUUUGAUUUUCAGACUAGCAUAAGCAUAAUUCAGACCUUCAGUAUGCUUCAUGCAAGGGCAGCAAAGCAUAAUUACCAGUCUGCUUUCUUUUGCUUACAUCGUUGAUAAAAUAGCAAAGUUAGAACUUCAAGGCUUUACUCACCAAUCAUUCCGCCAGGAAGGGUAACAAUUGCUAAGGUUCACAUAUAUGGAAUUAACUGCAAACAGGAACAUGUAAAGUAGAUACUGUUAGUGAAACAACACUAAAAUCAAACAGCAGAAUCAAAUGGUAUUUAACAGGGUAGCUUGAAAAUAAAUCAGAUCUGAGGUAACCUUAGAGAGUUCAUGGACAGUGGCCUCGUUAUUGCCCAUGUUGUUCCCGGCCACAUCAAGAGAUUUCCCUACUAUGUAGUACGACAUUGAAGACCCCAUGUCAUGUAUGGACCCCAUGGUUCCUGAUAUCAUGAGCAGCCAAUCUAUUGCAUCCACCGUAGCAAACAGACCAAAGAAUGCAAACGAUCUGUCUUCGGCUUCUGUUUCUGGUGCCAUGGAUGCUGCUCGCGUGCUUUCCUUGCCAUCUGCAAUCUUAGGUUCAGAUGAUUCAGUGGGCCUAUCAUUUUGGAUGAGUGGCACUGCUUUCCUGGAUCUUCUGUUAAUGUGCAAAAAGUGAGUAGCUGGCACACUGAGCUUUAUAGCACUAGUACACACAGUAACAACCACAUAGCUACAAAUUUGCACCAAUGAUACUAUCAAGAUUCAUAAUGUUAUCUAUUGUUCAAUCCUAGUGACUCCCAUUUUUGUUCAUGACUCCUUUGCUGACAUGAUGCAGCAUGUCCAACCUGCGUAUUCAGACAUGAAAGUAAACUUUCUUGAUGAUGUCUCCAACUUCAAUUUUGCAGUAAAAGUCACAAUUUUAGGAAAUACUAAGCAUGAAUCUUUUGUCCUCAUAACCAAAUUGUAGUGCAUGAGACAUCUCUGUUUUCAUCUACAAGUUACAUUACUCUACUCCAGCUACAAGUCUAAUCCAGAAUAGGCCAUGCCACUUUUCUAUUGGAAUCCGUCCUUAGUCUACAUAUUCCUCGGUCAUUCCAAAUUCCAAAUAAAUACGCCGGCUAUCUUACUCGUACAGUCGUACAUAUACUUGAUGUCUUGGUAAACAUGUUUGAUAUUUCUGCUACAUAAAAAAAAAGAAAUUACGUCAACAAGACUGCAAGAGCAAGGUGUCCAGUAAUAAACAAGGCAGUUUCUGUUGCAAGUCUUCAUGUUAGUGCCUGGAACUUUCACAAUAGUCAUCCAACGGCCUAAUUCUCUGAUUCCAGUUCUGAUUUGGCUGAAUAGUCUGAUCAUUAUGUGAACUUGAUGUAUCUUAUAGAUUUAUAAUUAAUCAGUUCAUUAGAAAUAAGUGUCUCAGCUUUGCUAUUUGCUGUCCCAUGUACCGAAUUUAGGUGGUUCUAUUUUCGAUAUGCAUUAUUUUAGGUAGCUUAAUUGUUAAGGACAUUUUCUUUUUUUCUAUGUUAUAUUUAUUGCCUAUUUCUUUAGAAAUAGAUAUUCAGCUAGUUUCUUGGAGAGAACUUUGUUCAAGUUGUCCUCAACCUUGAAAGACGGUUAAACUGGUUGAUGGACUGCAUGAUCGGAAACCAGCAUAUUACUGAAUCCCUUUCCUGUCUUAAGUUCUGUUACUCUAUCUUCCAUCUGUUACUCUAUCUUCCAAACAGAUACCAUUCAAGUAAUAUAUAGUUAUUUUUUUACCCUAACUGGUGGACUAUGCAUCAUCGAUAUAUGAUGAUAUAGCUAUGUUAUUACAACUUGUGACAGCAAGUGCAUUUGAGCAAUGCUUAAUCUCCUAAAGCUAUUCUUGCUAAGUGUCUUUGGUCUUUGGCCAUAAUGGAACUUGAAUAGAUGGUCAUUCUUUCAUGUUGCUUUGCAAGUGGAACAAUCUUGAGUAAACGCCAUCUUCAGCAGAGAUCAACUCUUGGUGAUUACCAAGUUCAACAACCUUUCCUUUCUCCAUCACAACUAUCGUAUCAGCAUUUAUGACUGUGGACAGUCUAUGUGCAACUGUGAUACUUGUAAUCGUACUGGCUUGCUCAUCUUUGUCCUUCCACACCUUGGUCCCUAAAGAGCUCAUAACCACCCUCUCAGAUUCACCAUCAAGUGCGCUGGUUGCCUCAUCAAGAAGCAGAAUGGCAGGCCUCUUCAGUAUUGUUCUUGCAAUAGCAAUUCUCUGUUUCUGCCCUCCUGAAAGCUGGCUCCCUUUGUCUCCAACAACAGUGCCAUACCCUUCUGGUAGACCACUGAUGAAUUCGUGAAUGUUUGCCUCCAUUGCAGCCUGGAUGAUUUCAGUCUCUGAAGGGCUUUCACUUCCAUAGCUAAUGUUAUCUCUGAUGGAUGUGUUGAACAGGAUUGGUUCUUGUUGAACUAGCCCAAUCUGCUUCCUGAGCCAUCGGAGAUUGUAGUCCUUUAUGUUCUUGUUGUCAAUUAACAAUCUACCUCUAGCAGGAUCGUAGAAUCUCAGUAUUAAAGCCAGUACAGAGGAUUUUCCUGCACCACUGGGGCCAACCAAUGCUACUCUUUGGCCAGGUUCUAUAAUUAGAUUGAAGCCAUCCAGAAUGGUCACCUCUGGUCUAGAUGGAUAAUUGAAGCUCACAUCCUGAAACUCGGUUCUACCGACGAGCCACCCUUUGCCUGGGUUUUCUGGUUUAUCCGGGACGAUUUGUGUCUCUCUGUCAAGUGUGUCAAAUACAGGAUUCAGUAUUGAAAUGGCUGACAUGACCAUAGGAAUGAGGGUCCAUAAUUCUGUGAUGGAAGGUACUGUGAGUGAGAAUAUCUGGUAUGAUCUUAUGCUGUUCUCAAAUUUGGCUUGCUUCCUCUGAACCAAAACUGUGGUGUACCAUAGGGCCACUGCAUGUGCAAUAUUCCAGAGGCAGAGCGAGAUCCCUUGGAUGACCCCAUACUUCAUGCUCUCAAUCUUGGUGAUCCUCAAGGGUUCUUGCAGUGACAAUUCUGCUUUCUUGAUUAUUUCAUCUUCAUAAACAAAGGAUGCCACAGUCCGGAUGUUGCUAGCAGCUUCUGAAGCUAGGGAGACAAGUUCCCGGUGAGCAAUAGCAGAGUCACCAUAAAAUCCUUUUGCUGACUUGGCUUGAAUAAGGCCACCAAUGAAAUGGCAUGGCAUGACUGCCCAUGAAACUAAAGCCAUUCUCCAAUUGACCUUCAUGCUUACUAUUGUUGCUAUCAGAAUUGAAGCGAUGCAUUGCACAAUAACUGCCAUUCUGUCUGAUAUGAUGGUCUUGACUGUUGACGUGUCACUGACAAUGCGUGAGGUAAGAAAUCCUACGCCAUUAUUUGGUUUCUCAAACCAACCAAGCUCAUUUCGGAGAACAGCUGCGUUGCAUUGAAACAAAAUAAUUUCAUAUUAUCAGGGGUAUGAGGUAUGUAUAUAAUGUUGUCUCUUGUGAGAAUUUGUGGUGAACACUUAAACAAAUUCAAGGUUUCAUGUGACAUACCUGAAAAGAGUGCCUCCCUUAUGUUUUUCAUUGCCCUUUCUCCAAUGAUACCAUAAAUAUAGUGCUGCAAGAUGUUACUCACCAUUGUAACCAUCCCUGCUGUGAAGAAUAUCAAAGAAUACUUGGUGACUUCCUUUUUUGCAUUCGGGUCAUAAUAUGCCACGCCAAUUGUCAUGAUGAAAUAACCAAACAAAGGCUUCGAGAUUCCAGAGAUGGCUGCUGCUGAGGAGCCAACUAGAAUCUUCAUAAUGUCCUCUUUACGCAAUCCAUACCAAAGUCUGAAGAAAGGGGGUGUUUCCUUUACAUUCUCAUUUCUUGGUUGUUUUGACUCCAGUCUUUCUAGCUUUUUGUUUGGUCCCUGAUUUGUGGAGGACUGCUUGAUGUGUGCUUCGCCAAUUUGUUCCUCCAUGUUAUCAGGAGUGCUGUUUAAUCAGUGGAACUAAAAACAUUAAUGAGUUGUUUGGUUUGAUGAAUCACUCUAUCCAAAAUGAAGUGGUGCAUCAUGGGUCCAUUCCUCAAAUUUGGUGGGAUGAUUUCAUUCCACAUAUUAGUACUAAACAACUAACUAUGAUGAAUGAGGUGGUGAUGGAUUAACUCACUCCAUUCCACAAACCAAACAAAAAAGUGAGGAGUGAGAAAAUGAUGGACUACAUCAUUCCUCAAACCAAACAAUCCAUAAGUUCUACUUAGUAAUCGUACUUAUAUGUACUAUUAUCACUAAACUUCCUAUUGAGGAGUUGAUGUGUUUUCAUUUUUUUGGCAGUUUCCUGUUCUGUUCAUCAUUUGUAAAUAGUAACUCUUGCUUUUAUUUCAAACUGCUGGCGUCCAGUUUGAAAAAACUUUAUUCAUUGAUAUUCUAAGGUACACCCCAACCCAUGCAUGACACAUUUACUUUUGAAGCGAUAAGUCAUAUUGAAGAAUUUCUUAACUGAGUAUAAAACAUUGGUCAAGUAAAACUUUCCAUUGGCUACAUUUAACUUUACCUUGCCACUUUAUUUUCAGCUUCCUUGUCUAUAUUUUGCAUGCUGCAUACAUUGGAGUAGAAUGUGCUUUUGUCAAGCAACUCAUGAUGUGUCCCAGUGUGUGCUACUCUUCCAUUUUCGACGACAACUAUAGUGUCAGCAUUUACAAUUGUGGACAUCCUGUGGGCUAUCAAGAUAACAGUCCUUCCACGCAUUGCUCUCUCAAGUGCAUCUUGAACUAGCUUCUCUGAUUCUGAAUCAAGGGCACUUGUUGCUUCGUCCAGAAGUAGGAUUGGUGGAUCCUUCAACAUUGCCCUUGCAAUAGCUAUUCUUUGUUUCUGGCCACCCGAUAACUGCACACCCCUUUCUCCUACCUGAAACAAUUUAAUUGUAGGAAGUCCCAGUGGGGAUCAUUUUUAAAUCUUUGAAUGUCUAAUAAUGUGGAAAAAUCCAUGAUUCUCCUAUGGGAAUAAAUUGCGACUAUCUGUAAUUUUAAAGUUCUAUUAUUAAUGCAUUACUCAGUCGACUUUGGUCCUUGAGAGAUCUUGUUGGAAUUUAACAAAUCAUGAGUCAAAAGUCAAAACCCUGAUCCAUAUUUGGUUAAAUAAGAUGAUCGACGACCCCAAGUAUUUAUAAGUUUCCAUGGGAAGUGGUGAAGUACUGAAGUACCUCGGUCAAGUACUCAUUUGGUAGUUUGGAUAUGAAUGAAUGAACAUUAGCUGUUCUUGCUGCUUCAGUUAUCUCCUUGUCACUUGCAUCCAUUUUACCAAUCUUCAAGUUGUCCUUUAUGUUACCAGAAAAUAGUGAUGGUUCCUGAGAGACUGA